rnacentral:rRNA from 1 species
UACAGAGGGUGCAAACGUUGCUCGGAAUUACUGGGCGUAAAGGGCGUGUAGGCGGCUUAUUAAGUCGUGUGUGAAAGCCCUCCGCUUAACGGAGGAGGUGCACAGGAAACUGAUAGGCUUGAAGUGCGGAAAAAGAGGGCAAAAUUCCCGAUAUAGAGGUGAAAUUCGUAGAGAUCGGGAGGAACACCAGAAGCGAAAGCGGCUCUCUAGACCGACACUGACGCUGAAACGCGAAAGCGUGGGGAGCAAACAGG